rnacentral:rRNA from 1 species
GACGAACGCUGGCGGCGUGCUUAACACAUGCAAGUCGAACGGAAAGGCCCUGCUUUUGUGGUGUGCUCGAGUGGCGAACGGGUGAGUAACACGUGAGUAACCUGCCCUUGACUUUGGUAUAACUUCAGGAAACUGGGGCUUAUACCGGAUAGGAGCUCCUGCUGCAUGGUGGUGGUUGGAAAUUUUCGGCGGUUGGGGAUGGACUCGCGGCUUAUCAGCUUGUUGGUGGGGUAGUGGCUUACCAAGGCUUUGACGGGUAGCCGGCCUGAGAGGGUGACCGGCAACAUUGGGACGGAGAUAGGGCCCAGACUCCUACGGGAGGAAGCAGUGGGGAAUAUUGCAAAAUGGGCGGAAGCCUGAUGCAGCAACGCGGCGUGCGGGAUGACGGCCUUCGGGUUGUAAACCGCUUUCGCCGGUGACGAAGCGUGAGUGACGGUAAUGGGUAAAGAAGCACCGGCUAACUACGUG